UACGUAGGGGGCGAGCGUUGUUCGGAAUUACUGGGCGUAAAGCGCACGUAGGCGGCUUUGUAAGUUAGAGGUGAAAGCCCGGGGCUCAACUCCGGAACUGCCUUUAAGACUGCAUCGCUUGAAUCCAGGAGAGGUGAGUGGAAUUCCGAGUGUAGAGGUGAAAUUCGUAGAUAUUCGGAAGAACACCAGUGGCGAAGGCGGCUCACUGGACUGGUAUUGACGCUGAGGUGCGAAAGCGUGGGGAGCAAACAGG
rnacentral:rRNA from 1 species